UAAUGAUCUUUGUCACAGUCUAAAAGAACUAGUCAUCCCCCUCAGCGUGACUCACCAGAAAUGUGCUCAAAGCUUCUCGUGUUUAAUACACAUGGAAAAUAGCACAUCCACCUGCUAAUGGAAGCCCCCUGAAGUGGUUCCCUGGGGAUCCACGGGUGACUACGUUGUUACAUCUUCCUGGGAGUGGCUUUUUUCUUUUUUCUUCUGGAAGGAGGUCAGAAGCCAAGAGGCAGUUUCUGUCCUAGAACAUACUGACCCCGGAUUGAAACCUAUUACAAUUCCAACCCCUUGGACCCAAGUCCCCUGAAAGGAGAACUGUCCCCAACCUUCAGCAGGCAGGCUCAACUUGCUGGCAGGACAGAGGGAAGAUAUGUUGGCAGGAAGGGUCAGAAAAGGGCCUCAUGCUAUAGUCACACACCCUGGCUCAGCCGGGUUCUUUGCAAAUUGCCACUGAUAAGCUGUUGCUCUGAGCUUUGUCCAUCACUCAUGAUCAUAAACCUGAGGUACAUUUGGUUUUAUCAGGAUAAGUAGUGUGUUUUUCAUGGCUUUGCUGAUGGUUAUCCAUACUCAGAAGACCCUGAAAACCAUGAGCUGGCCGCCCCCAUGAGAAGGAUCCCAAAUCCCAGUUUCCACUGAAGGAGACUCCAGCAAAGAGUUUUUCGGGGGCUUUGUGCUUAUGUGCUUUUUUUUUUUUAGUUUUGGUUUUGUUUUGUUUUGUUUUAAACUGGUUAGCGCUGUUCACAGAGUCCUGAGGAGGAUUUUUGCUCUGAGCCCUGGCUCCUGGGACAGCACGGCCCCUCCACCACAUCCUGCCUCCUCACUUCCUCCUCGCCUUUCCCAGCUCCAGAAGCCAAGAUGGGAAGUCUCUCACGACCCUGUGGCUUGGCCGGGAGGAAGCCUGAACUUGAUACAGCUGGCUUUCCUGGGGCCUGGGGAGAGUGUUUACCCCUGAGUCUGUGCUUCUCUGCUCACCUAUUUUUAGACGGGUGCUGCAGACCUUCCUGAGGGCUCCCCCACAGGUCUCUUUCGGGGCGGGGCCGGGCCAGGGAUGGGCCCCCCGGGCCGACGGGACUGUUGCACACCUGAGCAGGGAUCCGGGCAGCAGUUAAAUGCGGUUUGCUUUAACGUCAAAAGGAAGAGAAAUAAACACCCUAAACCGACUCCCUGCCUGUCUCCCCAGAACAAAGGUCUGAGUUUUCUCUUCUACUUCAGCAGCCAGCCGUGGAGGGGAGCUGAAGACCCGGGACCUGGAAAUGUGCUCACAUCGGAGGGGCAGGCAGAACGGCGGGACGGUCGUAGUCAGGACCGGGCAGGGCGCUGGGGCCACGCCUCGGCUGAGAGCUCCCCUCCGGCGACCCUCUUACCACACACUCCCUCACCCUCGCCAGACCACACCGGUCCCUGGGCUCCCGCACUGGCCACCUGCUGCGUUGGCGGAACUGUCCUUGAUGAUCUGCUCUGUGCCCUUCGCGACCCAGGUCGAGCGCCACCAAAGCCUCCAUCACCUCCGAACAAUCGAUGCGUGGCUGUGACCCUCACAUGACGGAGCUGCGUCGAGGGACAGAGACCAUAGGUCCCUGCUGGCCCUGUGGCUCUCACCUCCCCCCGCCCCCGCUCUGCCCCAGGAUGCUUGCACCUCCCUGGCAAGCUGCCCGGUGAAGCACCACCCUGAAACAUGGAGACAGGACGGGAGAGGCACAGACCCACCUGAGAAGGAAACGCAGGGGCCGAGGCCGAGGGUGGGCUGGAUCCAGAGAGGCGAUGGUGAAGAGAGAGCCCAGGAGGGAGUCCCAGGCUGGAGCGCUGAGGGGCUGGAGGUGAGGCAAUGGGCAGAAGGCCAAGGCUAUGGAGAAGGAGACUGACCACGGAGGUGCCCUGUUCCACAGAAGAGACCACUGACCUGCCUUCCAUAGGGGCACAGCUGAUAGGAACAGCGUUGCCCCAAUAGAGAGCUCACUGGAUAAUCUGGAUCGUAUCCAUGGUUUAGACUUAAGGCCAAACAACUUAACAUCCCCACCCUCCAUCAAAACAAAAUGAAUCACAGCACUAGCAAAUGAAGAAUGUCUGUAGAGCACCCCCUGACCUCGCUGAUGAAGCCAGCAGUGUCCUGGACGAGGUCGAUCAGAAGAGAGACUGCCUGAGCACGCGUCUUCAGAUGAUGGUGGCCUGAGUCUCGCCGUUCUGUAAGCCUCUCUUCUGCAGAGGGGAACGAUGUCUCACAAGGAAGGAGCAAGGCCAGGAUGCAGGUGAACAGGCAGAAGCAUGAAGGCACGGGAGGAAAAGCAUCCCUCCCCUAUAUUAAUAAUAAUGAUGAUGAUAAAUAUUCAGAUGAGAUCAUUUCCAGAGUGCAUUUAAGUAUAUUGGUCAAUCUUUUUUUUUUUUAAGAUUUUAUUUAUUUAUUUGAGAGAGAGAGAGAGAGAACAUGAGCAGGGGGCAGGGGCAGAGGAAGAAGCAGACUCCCCACUGAGCAGGGAGCCUGAUGCGGAACUCGAUCCCAGAACCCUGGGAUGGUGACCUGAGCUGAAGGUAGAUGCUUAACCGACUCAGCCACCCAGGCACCUAUAUUGGUCAGUCUUUAUAACUAUCACCUUCGGUAGCCUAUUAUUAGCCUUAGAAUAAGCAAACUAUUUAAGAGAUUUCUCUAAGACCACAAACCUAGAAAGUGGCAGAGAUAGGGCUCAAUAUCAAGAGGGCAAAGCCCACCAGCUUUCUGUCUGCCACAUGGGUAAUUAAGUUACUCUAGCUGGGAACACGAGUUGAAUGUAAGGUCAGGCCCUGACUCCGUGCCAAGCAUCCCAGCCAAGCCUUCUCCCUCCUAUCACCGGUUCUUCUAAGUGUCUGUUGGCACCUUACUCUCUCUUCCUUGCUGGCUCCCAGCAGGGGAAAUUCUCUAACAGGCUAUACUUUUCCAAUGUAUAAUUACACAUAAUUUAAAAUUUUUCCAAUAAUGGAUUAAAAUCCCAAAUAUAGAGGUUAGUCACUAGUCUAGGAUUUAUGGCAGUAAGCACCACCUAAAUAUAUUGGCAACUUACUGUAAAUAAAAUAGCAUGGUCUAGGUGCUGAAGUUAAACAGAUCUAAGAAUACGGUUAUUUAUUACAACAGAAAGAAGUCAGUUCAAAUUACUGAGAGAAAACAUGGAUUAUGUAAUAAAUGAUGAUUAACUGACUAGUUAAAAAGGAACUUUAUCUUAUUUCUUGCCAUCAGCAUAUAGAUGCAUCAAAUAUUUCAGUAUAAAAAAACAAAGCCACAAAUGUAUGGGGUAAAAACAUGGAUGAAUAUUCUUACAAUCUUGGAAUGGGGAAGGGGUUUUUUUCACCCCAAGAUGAUACUGAUUCAGCAUACAAUUUUAUAUUUAUUUUUUUUAACUUAAAUUCAAUUGGCCGACAUAUAGUACAUCAUUAGUUUCAGAUGUAGUAUUCAACUAAUUUAUCAGUUGUGUACAAUUUUCAAUUUAAAUAACAUUUAAGGAGAAAUCAUGAACUGGGAAAAAUUAAUUGCAAGCUGUAUCACAGACCAAGAGUUAUUAUCUUUCCUAUACAGGAACUCCUAUAAAUCGGUCAAAGGAAACAGGCCCAUAAAAAUGGGA